UACGUAGGUGGCAAGCGUUGUCCGGAAUUAUUGGGCGUAAAGCGCGCGCAGGUGGUUCCUUAAGUCUGAUGUGAAAGCCCACGGCUCAACCGUGGAGGGUCAUUGGAAACUGGGGAACUUGAGUGCAGAAGAGGAAAGUGGAAUUCCAAGUGUAGCGGUGAAAUGCGUAGAGAUUUGGAGGAACACCAGUGGCGAAGGCGACUUUCUGGUCUGUAACUGACACUGAGGCGCGAAAGCGUGGGGAGCAAACAGGGA
rnacentral:rRNA from 1 species